UGGCGAGGCUGACAUAGCUUUUACUGAUUCGUCUGCUUGGUGAGUGGACAGGAUGCCAGUCUGGCAGUUUGCAUUGGCAAUAAAUCACCACUAGACAUUUUAUUUAAAAUCUGGCACUGGCUUGGGAGAGGUGAGGGAUUGUCAAUUUGUUUUUAUUUUGAGGCCAGGCACAAUCAUAACACAAGCAGGCCACCUGGAAAC
rnacentral:lncRNA from 1 species